rnacentral:rRNA from 1 species
UACGGGGGGGGGCAAGCGUUUGUUCGGAAUUACUGGGCGUAAAGGGCUCGUAGGCGGCCAACUAAGUCGGAUGUGAAAUCCCCAGGCUUAACCUGGGAACUGCAUCCGAUACUGGAUGGCUUGAAUCCGGGAGAGGGAUGCAGAAUUCCAGGUGUAGCGGUGAAAUGCGUAGAUAUCUGGAGGAAUACCGGUGGCGAAGGCGGCAUCCUGGACCGGCAUUGACGCUGAGUGAGCGAAAGCUAGGGGAGCAAACGGG